rnacentral:misc_RNA from 1 species
AUAGAAUACAAUUUCACAGUUUCUCUUUCCCAUGGAGAUUACCCGUUAUCUCUAAUCUCCAAUUUUCUUACCUAGUUUUCCAAGAGGCCAACAUUCUAUAUAUAUAUUGUAUAAAUUCGAGUUUUAACCAUUCAAUAUUACUGAAAGAACAGAAAGGUCUUAUAAAUGCCGCUUCAAAGAAAGUGAUCAAGAAAUAGUAUUUUUAACAAUCUAGAUUUCUACAUAUCCAGUGUUACUGACCAUAUAUGCUGAAAACUCUCAACGGUUGAUUCUUGAAUAAAAAUGGCUAGUGGUGUUAAAGUUAACGAUGAUGUCGUCACCAGAGCAGUUGAAAUGAAUCUACACAAGGGUACACCCUUAAGAUAUCUGCGAUUCGUUAUAAACUCUGUUGGAACAUUUAUUGAAAUUCAAGAGGAGAAGGAGCGAGAUAAAACUGAAAAUGGCGACGAGGAAGGCCAAAAAAGAUUGUUAAAUGAAUUAACAGAUACUCUCUCAGACAAGGAUUGCUGCUACAUUUUAUACGAUUUUGGAUAUGUGCCUGGCAGUGGACAAGCUACCGAUAAAUUAUUAUUUAUCGUCUGGUGUCCGGAUUCUGCUAGCGUUCGCAACAAGAUGCUUUACGCUUCUUCUAAAGAUGCGAUUAAAAAUAAGCUUAGUCAAUUGGCUUUCAAAGAAGUACAGGCAAAUGACUUAUCUGCUUUGUCCUACGAGGCAGUUCUAGAUAAAGUUCUACACUAG